UUAAGUUAUUAAGGGCGCAUGGUGGAUGCCUUGGCACUAGGAGCCGAUGAAGGACGUGACUAACUGCGAUAAGCUUCGGGGAGUUGUAAGUAAACUGUGAUCCGGAGAUUUCCGAAUGGGGAAACCCAGCAGGAGUAAAGACCUGUUAUCACUGAGUGAAUACAUAGCUCAGUUGAAGGUAGACGUGGGGAACUGAAACAUCUAAGUACCCAUAGGAAGAGAAAGAAAAUUCGAUUCCCUGAGUAGCGGCGAGCGAAAAGGGAACAGCCCAAACCAGAGAGCUUGCUCUCUGGGGUUGUAGGACUGGACAUUUGAGUUACCAAGAAACGAAGUAGUUGAAUGAUUUGGGAAGAUCAGCCAGAGAAGGUGAUAGCCCUGUAAGCGAAACUUCGUUUCCUCAGCCCAGUAUCCUGAGUACGGCGGAACACGUGAAACUCCGUCGGAAUCCGGGAGGACCAUCUCCCAAGGCUAAAUACUCCCUAGUGACCGAUAGUGAACCAGUACCGUGAGGGAAAGGUGAAAAGCACCCCGGGAGGGGAGUGAAAUAGUUCCUGAAACCAUGUGCCUACAAGUAGUCAGAGCCCGUUAAUGGGUGAUGGCGUGCCUUUUGUAGAAUGAACCGGCGAGUUACGUUAGCGUGCGAGGUUAAGGCGCAAAGGCCGGAGCCGUAGCGAAAGCGAGUCUGAAUAGGGCGAAUGAGUACGUUGACGUAGACCCGAAACCAGGUGACCUACCCAUGUCCAGGUUGAAGGUGCGGUAAGACGCACUGGAGGACCGAACCCGUGUAUGUUGAAAAAUGCUGGGAUGAGGUGUGGGUAGAGGUGAAAUUCCAAACGAACUUGGAGAUAGCUGGUUCUCUCCGAAAUAGCUUUAGGGCUAGCCUCGGAGUUAAGGAUCGUGGAGGUAGAGCACUGUUUGGACUAGGGGCCCGUCUUGGGUUACUGAAUUCAGAUAAACUCCGAAUGCCACAGAUCUAUAUCCGGGAGUCAGACUGCGAGUGAUAAGAUCCGUAGUCGAAAGGGAAACAGCCCAGACCACCGAUUAAGGUCCCUAAAUAUGUGUUAAGUGGAAAAGGAUGUGGAAUUGCACAGACAACUAGGAUGUUGGCUUAGAAGCAGCCACCAUUUAAAGAGUGCGUAAUAGCUCACUAGUCGAGUGAUCCUGCGCCGAAAAUGUAACGGGGCUAAACACAUUACCGAAAUCGUGGAUGCAACUAUGUUGCAUGGUAGGAGAGCGUUCUAAGGGCGAUGAAGCUAGACCGUAAGGACUGGUGGAGCGCUUAGAAGUGAGAAUGCCGGUAUGAGUAGCGAAAGAUCAGUGAGAAUCUGGUCCACCGUAUGACUAAGGUUUCCUGGGGAAGGCUCGUCCUCCCAGGGUUAGUCGGGACCUAAGCCGAGGCCGAGAGGCGUAGGCGAUGGAUAACAGGUUGAGAUUCCUGUACUGGUUUGAUUUGUUUGAACGAUGGAGGGACGCAGGAGGCUAGAGAUGCGUGCUGUUGGAUAUGCACGUCCAAGCAACAAGUCUGAUGAUGAGUCAAAUGCUUAUCGUCUUAAGGACAAGUUGUGACGGGGAGCGAAAUUAAAGUAGCGAAGUGAUCGAUGUCACACUGCCGAGAAAAGCUUCUAGUUAGGAUCAGACCACCCGUACCGCAAACCGACACAGGUAGUCGAGGCGAGUAGCCUAAGGUGAGCGAGAGAACUCUCGUUAAGGAACUCGGCAAAAUGACCCCGUAACUUCGGGAGAAGGGGUGCUGCACGAUGUGCAGCCGCAGUGAAUAGGCCCAGGCGACUGUUUAUCAAAAACACAGGUUUCUGCAAAAUCGUAAGAUGAAGUAUAGGGGCUGACGCCUGCCCGGUGCUGGAAGGUUAAGAGGAUGGGUUAGCGUAAGCGAAGCUCAGAAUUGAAGCCCCAGUAAACGGCGGCCGUAACUAUAACGGUCCUAAGGUAGCGAAAUUCCUUGUCGGGUAAGUUCCGACCCGCACGAAAGGCGUAACGAUCUGGGCACUGUCUCAACGAGAGACUCGGUGAAAUUAUAAUACCCGUGAAGAUGCGGGUUACCCGCGACAGGACGGAAAGACCCCAUGGAGCUUUACUGUAGCUUGAUAUUGGGUGUUUGUAUAACUUGUACAGGAUAGGUAGGAGCCGUAGAAGUCGGAACGCUAGUUUCGAUCGAGGCGCUGGUGGGAUACUACCCUCGUUGUAUGAACACUCUAACCCUCGCCGCUUAUCGCGGCGGGAGACAGUGUCAGGUGGGCAGUUUGACUGGGGCGGUCGCCUCCUAAAAGGUAACGGAGGCGCCCAAAGGUUCCCUCAGAAUGGUUGGAAAUCAUUCGCAGAGUGUAAAGGCAUAAGGGAGCUUGACUGCGAGACCUACAAGUCGAGCAGGGACGAAAGUCGGGCUUAGUGAUCCGGUGGUUCCGCAUGGAAGGGCCAUCGCUCAACGGAUAAAAGCUACCCUGGGGAUAACAGGCUUAUCUCCCCCAAGAGUCCACAUCGACGGGGAGGUUUGGCACCUCGAUGUCGGCUCAUCGCAUCCUGGGGCUGUAGUCGGUCCCAAGGGUUGGGCUGUUCGCCCAUUAAAGCGGUACGCGAGCUGGGUUCAGAACGUCGUGAGACAGUUCGGUCCCUAUCCGUCGCGGGCGUAGGAAAUUUGAGAGGAUCUGUCCUUAGUACGAGAGGACCGGGAUGGACAUACCGCUGGUGUACCAGUUGUUCUGCCAAGGGCAUCGCUGGGUAGUUAUGUAUGGAUGAGAUAAACGCUGAAAGCAUCUAAGUGCGAAACUCACCUCGAGAUAAGAUUUCCCAUUCCUUUAUGGAAGUAAGACCCCUGAGAGAUGAUCAGGUAGAUAGGAUGGAAGUGGAAGUACGGUGACGUAUGGAGCGGACCAUUACUAAUCGGUCGAGGACUUAACCAA
rnacentral:rRNA from 1 species